UGUCUGCCGGCAGGACCCCCGACUCGUUGUGCGGCCGACUGCCGGCGCCUGUGUCCCAUCAAUCCCGCGGUCGUUAUCCGACCGCUCUACCGACAAGUGCUUGCAUGCUGGUACCCGACCUACGGGAAGUGGUGCUUCACACCCGAUUACCUCGCGGCGGACGCCCCUAGGGCGUGCCGCUGCGGCCUAGUAGCGCUCGCGGCGUUGCCUCGUGGUGCCAGCACGCUACGUGCCUGGUGCUGCCAAGGCCACCUCGCCCGCGCUCUUGGUCUUGGAUGUCGCUCACGAUAAAGGCUCGUGGCCCAUCGGUGCCGCGUCCCUACCGAAAGCUCUCUCUAUAGACGACAGCCGGCUCGAUUGCUGCUGCUGCCACGCCACACGCUGGCUGGCACGCGCGACUCUCGGUGCUGGCUCGUCGACGAGGACGUGCU
rnacentral:misc_RNA from 1 species